AGAGUUUGAUCCUGGCUCAGGACGAACGCUGGCGGUGUGCUUCACACAUGCAAGUCGAACGGAGUAGCAAUACUCAGUGGCGGACGGGUGAGUAACACGUGGGAAUCUACCAUUAGGUGGGGAAUAACAGGCCGAAAGGACUGCUAAUGCCGCAUAUGUAGGCAUCUCGACAGAGAUGUUUAUGAAAGGAGUAAUCCGCCUUUUGAUGAGCCCGCGUCCGAUUAGCUAGUUGGUAGGGUAAAAGCCUACCAAGGCGACGAUCGGUAGGUGGUCUGAGAGGAUGAUCACCCACAAUGGGACUGAGACACGGCCCAUACUCCUACGGGAGGCAGCAGUGGGGAAUUUUACGCAAUGGGGGAAACCCUGACGUAGCGACACCGCGUGAGCGAAGAAGCCCUUUGGGGUGUAAAGCUCUGUCAGCAGGAACGAAACAAAUGACGGUACCUGUGGAGGAAGCAUCGGCUAACUACGUGCCAGCAGCCGCGGUAAGACGUAGGAUGCAAGCGUUGUCCGGAUUUAUUGGGCGUAAAGAGUUCGUAGGCGGUUUGUUAAGUCUGAUGUUAAAGACCGGGGCUCAACCUCGGAAAUGCAUUGGAUACUGGCAGACUGGAGUGCAGUAGAGGCUAGUGGAAUUCCCAGUGUAGCGGUGAAAUGCGUAGA
rnacentral:rRNA from 1 species